rnacentral:rRNA from 1 species
AUUGAACGCUGGCGGCAUGCUUUACACAUGCAAGUCGAACGGCAGCGCGGGCUUCGGCCUGGCGGCGAGUGGCGAACGGGUGAGUAAUAUAUCGGAACGUACCCCAGAGUGGGGGAUAACGUAGCGAAAGUUAAGCUAAUACCGCAUACGAUCUAAGGAUGAAAGCAGGGGAUCGCAAGACCUUGUGCUCCUGGAGCGGCCGAUAUCUGAUUCGCUAGUUGGUGAGGUAGAGGCUCACCAAGGCAACGAUCAGUAGCUGGUCUGAGAGGACGACCAGCCACACUGGAACUGAGACACGGUCCAGAAUCCUACGGGAGGCAGCAGUGGGGAAGUUUGGACAAUGGGGGCAACCCUGAUCCAGCAAUGCCGCGUGAGUGAAGAAGGCCUUCGGGUUGUAAAGCUCUUUUGUCAGGGAAGAAAAGGCUGUGGUUAAUAUCCAUAGCUGCUGACGGUACCUGAAGAAUAAGCACCGGCUAACUACGUGCCAGCCGCCGCAGUAAAAC